UCUUUCUCGGAUUUCGGUUUUCUCAGCCCGGGUCUCAUCUUCAUGCAUUGCUGAACAAGGCUGAUUUGGUGAAGAGUUAAUACUACAAAGCAGCUGAAGGAAAGACUCCUUUGCAAGGGAACAAAUCACAAGACAAGAUGAAGAUCCUAGUCCUGACUAUGACCAUCUUAGAUUUUAUGGUUUACUUCCUGGCAGACUCCAAAGCAACUCAGAGUCUUGAACACGUCUUCCCAUCCACUGGCAGAUCUAAACCAUUCUUUGCCCCUAAUCUUGCUACAUACAUCCAAAAUGCCAAAAACAAGUUCACUCCCUCAGCAGAUGAGAAUACCAUUGCCAAAUCAAAUAAAACAACCUCCUUGGAACUAGUACCACUACUCAUAAAGAAGAGGCAGGACCAGACGGUAUGUUCUUUUUUUUUAUACUUCAGCCCUUAUGUCAGAAGCCAAUACAGCAAAAAUUGAUACCACAGACAUUCUACAGGAAGAUCGUACAGCUCAGCUUGAUAUGCCUGAUCUCGAGGACAACAAGAUAAUUAUCACUGAUACUACUUACAUGGAAAGAUAUAGCAAAACUGCAAACAAUGAGCCUGACCUUACAAAAAAAGACAAUUCUAUCAGA